CGGGCCCGAUGGCAGAUUAGGUAGUUGGUGAGGUAAAGGGCUCACCAAGCCGUCGAUCUGUAGCUGGUCUGAGAGGACGACCAGCCACACUGGGACUGAGACACGGCCCAGACUCCUACGGGAGGCAGCAGUGGGGAAUUUUGGACAAUGGGCGAAAGCCUGAUCCAGCCAUGCCGCGUGCAGGAUGAAGGCCUUCGGGUUGUAAACUGCUUUUGUACGGAACGAAACGGCCUUUUCUAAUAAAGAGGGCUAAUGACGGUACCGUAAGAAUAAGCACCGGCUAACUACGUGCCAGCAGCCGCGGUAAUACGUAGGGUGCAAGCGUUAAUCGGAAUUACUGGGCGUAAAGCGUGCGCAGGCGGUUAUGUAAGACAGUUGUGAAAUCCCCGGGCUCAACCUGGGAACUGCAUCUGUGACUGCAUAGCUAGAGUACGGUAGAGGGGGAUGGAAUUCCGCGUGUAGCAGUGAAAUGCGUAGAUAUGCGGAGGAACACCGAUGGCGAAGGCAAUCCCCUGGACCUGUACUGACGCUCAUGCACGAAAGCGUGGGGAGCAAACAGGG
rnacentral:rRNA from 1 species